UAUGUGAAAAUAAUAAACAUUUGUGUAUCCACCGAUCCACGUGGUCGUUAUGGAUUGUGCUCCGAGGCAAUUUGCCGAAAGGUUUUCUAUGAAUGAGAAGUCAAUUUUAUUUUCAUUAGUGGAAAAUAGGGCAAAAAUAGUGGAAGCCAAAAAAACGGAUUUCAAAAACGUCGCCGAAAAGCGGAAAGCUUGGCAGGAGAUUGAAAAAGAUUUCAAUUCUUAUUCAGAAGUCUCCAAGCGUACUGCAUCCCAGCUAAAGAAAUGUUGGGAAAAUGAGAAAAUGAAGAGGAAGAAGAUCCUUGCUGCCAACACAAGGCAGCGAAUGGCCACUGGUGGUGGUCCAUUUGUCCAGGAGCCCUCCACGAACCCCGAAUUGGAAGUGGCAUUAGCUGGGACACAGCACUUUAUUGUAGAUGGUGGCGAUCAUGACAUGGUCGUUUCCGCAGACAGUGCUGAAAAUGCUGCUAAGUACCAGGUAGUAAUUGCAUUGGACCAUGACUAUGAGCUGCCCAUUUCAGAAUCUAUGUCUGAAGAAGAAAUUACUUAUGAGGUGGAGGUUGACAGCCCACAGGUGAGAAAGAAGGAUGCUCUCCUUUCUGGACGCUCCAAUAAGUCAAAUACACGUCGUGAAGUAGCAAUUGAAGAUUAACUGCAGCAUCGCCUGCAUAAACUUAACAGUACAGAAAAGCGGGAAAUUGAGCAUCAUAAGCUUUUGAUGCUUGAGCAGAAACUGCGAGUGAGGGCAGCAAGAACUGCUGCAAUAUAUACAAAAGAGCUUCACGAGCAGGCAAAGAAUCAUCGUGAAGAAGAACACAAGUUGCGAAUGGAAUUAAUGAAAUCAGGAAACGGGAAAACACUGUAAAUUGCUUGCAUAUUACAGUCGAUAACCAUUUUUAUAUUAUGCCCUUAUUUGUAUUUAUUCUUUCCUGUGGUUUCUAAAUUGCACUUAGUAAAAUUCUGCAAAAUGGCACAGUAAAAUUGAAAGAAAGCCUCUUAGCUGAAAAAAAAUCCAAAAACCAGUUUUUAUUAAUGUCCUAACAUAUUUUCCAAACAUUAUCUAAGAGGGCAUUGCGAUAUUGUUUACAAUUUUCCAGAUUGAAUCUUUUUAAGGAGUGGUUAGAUUAAGUUAUAUAAUAGAUAGUGUAAAAUUGUGAGAGUUGUUGGUUAUUAUGUUAGCUAACUGUGAAAUUGUUUAAACAGUUAAGUUUGUUAAGCCAUAUAAAAAUAUACUGUUUGAAGUUGUGUCAGCGACUGGUUAGGUUAGUAGCAUUACAAAUAUUAGAGAGUUAGGAUGGUGUGUUGGGUUAAAUGAAGAGACAUUUCAAAUUGGUAAAACUAAGAAAUUAUUUAAAUGAUCUGAAAUGUUUCUAGCAUAGCUUAAUUAAAUACUAAUGAUCCAUAAUACUUAAUCAAGGAUUUUAAAUUGAACUUACCACACCUAAUAUAUCCCAUGCCCACUAUUUGAUGUAGCAAACCCAUCCCUUUUCAUAGUAUCACACAGUAUUUGAAAUAAAUAUACCUGACUUAUCUACUUGUUAAAAAUGUAAACUACUGCAAAAUAUUUGAAGUAUCUUACAGAGAAAAAUUGCAUAACAUGUAAGUAAAAACAUCAGAAUUUUGAUUAGAUUUUUUUUUGUUCAGGAAAGAGGCUUUCCUUUAAAAUUACCAAAUGCAGCUGAAAAUUCAAUGUUCCUAAGAGAAGGUGUAUACAACAUAAAUGAGCAAUGUGUUAUUUAUUUUUCAUAUGUAUGAUUAGGAAUCCAAAUUAUAAUUAUUGGGACCAUUUACAAAUGACAACAUUCAUAAGCAGACAGUAACUGAAUUUAUUAAAAUUUUGGGGGUUCGUUAAAAUAUUGACAAGUGUGGUCAUCUGUGGUGUUGUGGUGUACUCCAACUAAUGAUUAGAAAAUGUGAUUGAAAACAACUAGUGUUGGUAGGUAUUGAACAGUGUAUUUUAUUUGUAAUUGUAUGUUUUGCUUGACCAUAGACAAUACUGAUUCAAUUUCCAACUGAAAAUAUUGAAAUAAAAGUCUGAAAAUUA